UUGGUAGCAAUAUUAUUUAUUUAUUUUUAUAAAAAAUAUUGUUUAUGAUUUUAUUUUUAUAUUCCUCUUUUUAUGCGUAUUUAUCUUAUUUUUUAUCUUUAAAAUUUUGUAUUGACUAAACUUUCUGUAAAUAUUUUUUUAAGGUUUCUGUAAUUUUUUUUUUGUUUUUGUUUUGGUUUUGUUUUUUUGGUUUUUCACCACCAGUUGAAUCUGGUUCGAGAGUCAAUUCUGGCAUCAAGUGGUUCCAGCCCCCUUCCGAUCGCAGUUGCGGGGAUCGAACCGCGGUCCUCCCUUCCAAGUUCAGCGCCAAUCACUGGACCAACUAACGAUUGGUUGUUUUUGUUUUGUAAUUUUUAUGAUUCACGUAUAAUUUUUUUUAUUGUAUUGAUCUUAUUAUUUUUUUUAUAUUUUUUAGUGUAUUCACCGUAUAGUAGAUCCCCAUCGCUUCUUCAAAGUCGCUGAUUCCAUCACCAGUCCGUUUUCAUCGCAAAGGAUUGAGCCAUCUUC
rnacentral:lncRNA from 1 species